rnacentral:rRNA from 1 species
UACGAAGGUGGCAAGCGUUACUCGGAAUUACUAGGCGUAAAGGGCAGGUAGGUGGUCUGAUUAGUCUGUUGUGUAAGCUCCCGGCUUAACUGGGAGAGGUCAACAGAUACUGUCAGGCUAGAGUAUAGGAGAGGGUACUGGAAUUCCCGGUGUAGCGGUGAAAUGCGCAGAUAUCGGGAGGAACACCAAUGGCGAAAGCAGGUACCUGGACUAUUACUGACACUCAGCUGCGAAAGCUAGGGGAGCAAACAGG